rnacentral:lncRNA from 10 species
AAUUACUUUACACUCAAACUUAAUUUCCCUUUCCCCCAAAUAUAUUAGAAAGCUCAAAUUGACAUUUAUUUUUCCAUUUCACUUGCAUGCUCAGUGGGGGAGGAAUGGAAAAUUGAAAUUUGCAAGGCUUCCCGUGGGUUUGCCUCUGCCUCUAAGGCACACUUAGUCAAUAAGUGCAGUAGGACCCAUCAUUACAUUGCUCAUUAUUCCACUGAUUCAGUGAGUUUGCAUGUCAAAAAGAAUCCCCCUUUCUUUAUGUAACCAGACCACACAUACACAUACACACAAUUCUGAUCUAGAACUGAGAGCUGCAGAAAUCUAUGGUAGGAUUUCAUGUCAGGCUUGUGGAAAUCCAUUCCAAUGCUUCAUGGGCAAUUUCAGUUGUUCUCACAUCAGCAUGAGCUUUCACCUUCAUCUUUAGGUUGUGAGAGAUCUCCACUGUGUACAGUUGGUCAACAAGUACUGAAGGUACAUGAAACUGCAGCUCUGCAGAAGGGACAUUAAAACCAUAAGUGGGUUCUAGUUCAAUGAACUCUAACUACAUUUGGAAAGAAUGGAAGGGAUAAAUGAGGGAAGCAAUGUACACAUUCAGAAGUAAGGAAUACAGAGUCUUUAAUAUUUACCUUGUACCUUCUUAUUUCAAAUGCUGUCCCUAUCUCAUUUUAUCCCCUCAAUUCUAUUAGGUGGAUGUUAUUCCCUGUUUCAUAGAUGAAGAAGCUGAAGCUAAUUUGUCCAAGAUACAAUAUCAUCGGACAAAAAUUGGAAAGCACAGAGCAUAUAAAAGAGGAAAGUUAAAAUCACACACAAUUUUUCAUUCCAGUAAUUAUCAUUACUUCCAUUCUAAUGUUCUUACUUGCUUGAUUUUUUUCAUUGUUUUUAAAAUAAAAUGAAGGUUGUGUUUUUUAUAUCCUGCUUUUUAUCCCUCAACAUAUUAUCUUGGGUAUUUUGUGUCUCAUUAAAAAUUCUGUGAAAGCAUCAUUUUAUUGCUGCUUAUCGUUCUUUAUUGUUGUGGUACCAUGCUAAUGCCAUAAUCUAUGAUUGUACAUUUCAUUUAUUUUAAUGUUGUAUUAUUUUCAGUGAUAAUGUAUGGACAUAUGAAUAUCUGUGUACAUAUCUACAUUUAUUCAAUUUUGUCAACAUAAAUUUCCAGAAUUGAAAUUCCAUGGUCAAAUAUAAAUAUGUGUUAAACCUCUAGAUGCAGUUAUCAAAUUGCUCCCCAGUAAUGUGGUUCCCAUUUUCAUUUCUACUAGGAGAUUUGAAAAUAUCAGUCACUCAUUCUUUCCAACAAUAUGCGUUAUCAUUCAAUCCUUGCCAUUUUAAUAGGUAAAAUGAUUUCUCAUUAUGUUUUUAAUCUGCAUGUAUGUUAUUAUUUAUGAGGUGAGGUCAUUUUAAAAAUAUAUGUAUUGCCUCGUUGCCUUCUAGCCCUAUAUGAUCAGGUCCUUCUUCCUUUCCAACCAUCUUUCUGACAUUACUCUACUCCAGCCACAUGGUUCUUGCUGUUCCUAGGCUAUGCUAACUUUGGUUUCACCUCAGGAUCUUGAUCAUGCUGUUGGUUUUUCUCUACCUGUCAUGUAUCCUUGCUUUCAAAUCUUAGCAAGGCUCACUUUCACAUUCCAUUCUGUUCUGUCCAAAUGCUGCCUCCUCAGAGAAUCUUUCUAUAUGGCUUCCUCAUCCUAAAUAGCCUCUUCUUCCAUUAUUCUAUAACCACCUCCCCUA